AUAUUAGACACCAUAUGAAACCACAGCCCCUCUCACAGGAUAUACCCAUAGAUAUUAGACACCAUAUGAAACCACAGCCCCUCUCACAGGAUAUACCCAUAGAUAUUAGAUAUUAGACACCAUAUGAAACCACAGCCCCUCUCACAGGAUAUACCCAUAGAUAUUAGACACCAUAUGAAACCACAGCCCCUCUCACAGGAUACACCCAUAGAUAUUAGACACCAUAUGUAACCACAGCCCCUCUCACAGGAUAUACCCAUAGAUAUUAUAUAUUAGACACCAUAUGAAACCACAGCCCCUCUCACAGGAUAUACCCAUAGAUAUUAGAUAUUAGACACCAUAUGAAACCACAGCCCCUCUCACAGGAUAUACCCAUAGAUAUUAGAUACCAUAUGAAACCACAGCCCCUCUCACAGGAUAUACCCAUAGAUAUUAGAUAUUAGAUACCAUAUGAAACCACAGCCCCUCUCACAGGAUAUACCCAUAGAUAUUAGAUACCAUAUGAAACCACAGCCCCUCUCACAGGAUAUACCCAUAGAUAUUAGAUACCAUAUGAAACCACAGCCCCUCUCACAGGAUAUACCCAUAGAUAUUAGACACCAUAUGAAACCACAGCCCCUCUCACAGGAUAUACCCAUAGAUAUUAGACACCAUAUGUAACCACAGCCCCUCUCACAGGAUAUACCCAUAGAUAUUAGACACCAUAUGAAACCACAGCCCCUCUCACAGGAUAUACCCAUAGAUAUUAGAUAUUAGAUACCAUAUAUAACCACAGCUCCUCUCACAGGAUAUACCCAUAGAUAUUAGAUAUUAGAUACCAUAUAUAACCACAGCCCCUCUCACAGGAUAUACCCAUAGAUAUUAGACACCAUAUGAAACCACAGCCCCUCUCACAGGAUAUACCCAUAGAUAUUAGAUAUUAGACACCAUAUGAAACCACAGCUCCUCUCACAGGAUAUACCCAUAGAUAUGUUGAAGCCCCCAUAUACAGCCAUGUCAGAAUACUGAGAGAACCAGGUUUCUGACACUAGCCAGGAUAAUGAAGUGUGUGGGUGUGUGAGAGAAAGGUGCACCCUUGAAGAAGCCAG
rnacentral:lncRNA from 1 species